rnacentral:tRNA from 1 species
CAGAUUAUAAUUUAUUUAAAAUAACAACUUUGGGAGUUGUCAAUCGGAUUUACCCGUAAUCUGA